CUUGACGGAGCCGAGCCACAGCGGCGUCGACCGGUCCUGCCCGUAGGUCGCCAGCAGCGCCUGAGCCUC
rnacentral:antisense_RNA from 1 species